rnacentral:lncRNA from 1 species
ACUUGCUAUGUAGUUUAGGUGCAAUGUAUUCCAAUUUAAACCAAGCGUUUGUAAUUUUUGAAAUGUCAAAGUUAUCCCAUAUCACACUUUUCUUCGUUGCGAUCUCCUUUUCAACUUGAACGGCCCAGGAUUUUCCCCGCUACUUGAUGUUGUUUGAUCUCCUUUGCUAGGUGUCGGAGACGUCUCCAUUCUUUUAUCUCUGUCUUGAACUUCAAUUUACUGGUUCUGCAUCCAAUUGGUUAGGAGAAGAUGAUUUUCCGCUG